GUUAAUAAGUUUUGGAUUUUGGAUUUCCGCCAUAGUCACACCGAGCUGGGUCUCCUUGUCCCUUUACAGACCAGUACCAAACAAACCUCAAAAGGAGAUGAUGUUAUGGGAAUCAACAAUGAAUCACACAUUGCUGCACUAUUAUAAUCUGUUCUUCAACGACUACGUACAAAGAUACAAUUUUGAAGAUUUAAAGGGAAACGCCUUUUCCUUUGAAUUAUGCAUAUAUCAUUAUCCAAAUCGUAAUUGCGAAAGUUUUCCACUCAGCCGUGAUGUAACAACUCUGGUACAGGCUAUU